CAGUUUUCCUAUGCAGGUCACCUUACUGCCAGUAGCAUGUGACUGUGGGAUGUGAUUCUGCACCCAGUUUACAUCUGUGUUUGCAAGCUAACCGGGGCCAGAACUGGGCUGAAGCAAAGGUGUGCUGUUGUCUACACUGUAUGCAGCUCUGGGAACACUGGCACGGUUUUGCCUGCGCCAACAAGCACCAUCCCAGAAGAUGCCUGGGCCCUGAGAGCAUUUCUCUGCCUUCUUGCAGUUCAGCUUCAGGACUGAAGAACAGAUCCUGACUGUUCUCUCUUCUGGUUCAGAGCCAUUCCCAAUAGGUGUUCUGUUGGAAAAGCAAGGGUUCCAAGGAGGAUGUACAAAUUAAAAAGGUGACUCAGGAGCAGAUGAGAGACAGCCCAUCAUUACAGGGAAGAGCUUCACAGUCCUCCCAUUCAUCCCAGCUGCUUCCAGGUCUGGAUAGAGAAUAACAAACUAAACCCUGCCUUCUGUUUUUGUAUAAGGCACUCUGAUGCAAAGUGCUUGUGGGUGGAUAAUAGAAAAACCAAGAAGAGUGAUGAGAUCUUACUGAUCAAUGCUGCCAAGCAGCAAUGAGCAUAAAGGUCAGAAGGGUUUUUAAUCCACUGGGAUUUAAUGGCACUACGCACUUUUUCUGCAACCAGCUUCUGUCCUAAAUAAACAGUCUGGAGAAUGGAAGUAGGUUUGAUAGGAGGGGUAUGGCAGCUCUGAACUUCAUAAAGAGUUAAAAUGCUCAGAUAACACUGUGCUGUGUCAUGUAUCUCAUAUGGAUCAGAAGACACUCAUGGGAAGUGAAUGCCUGAUGACAGCCAAAUUGCUCAAACCAUGUUGGAGGAGAGGAGGUUAUUAUAGGAAAAAGAGUAAAGAAUAAAACUCCCUUUGGGGAGUCCUCACACACAGUGAAAAUUAAGUUUUCUAGACAAAACUGCCAGAGACAUGAUGGACUGGCAGAAAGGGAAUGUGUGUUUGGGAUUGAUAUGCUGCUGCGGUUAAUAUCCUUUUUCUUUGGAAAUGUGUGAGACCUUUAGCAAUCACUGCAGGCCAGGACUUUGUUAUGGCUGAGAAAUAAAAUUAUAGGAUUAUUUUUCAAAACAUAAUAGAUUUUUCAGUCUUGA